rnacentral:rRNA from 1 species
GAUGAACGCUGGCGGCGUGCUUAAUACAUGCAAGUCGAACGAAGCACCUUGGACAGAAUCCUUCGGGAGGAAGACCAUUGUGACUGAGUGGCGGACGGGUGAGUAACGCGUGGGUAACCUGCCUUGUACAGGGGGAUAACAGUUGGAAACGACUGCUAAUACCGCAUAAGCGCACAGUACCGCAUGGUACGGUGUGAAAAACUCCGGUGGUACAAGAUGGACCCGCGUCUGAUUAGCUUGUUGGUGAGGUAACGGCCCACCAAGGCGACGAUCAGUAGCCGACUUGAGAGAGUGAUCGGCCACAUUGGGACUGAGACACGGCCCAAACUCCUACGGGAGGCAGCAGUAGGGAAUAUUGCACAAUGGGGGAAACCCUGAUGCAGCGACGCCGCGUGAAGGAAGAAGUAUUUCGGUAUGUAAACUUCUAUCAGCAAGGAAGAAAAUGACGGUACUUGACUA